GACCUGGGCUGGGUGGUCUUGCCGAAAGACAAGCACUGCUCGGGCCGGGUCUUUCCUUCUGGGGAACCAUUGUGCUCUUAAUUGAGUGCGUUGGGGAUCCAGGACUUUUACUUUGAAAAAAUUAGAGUGUUUAAAGCAGGCCUACGCUUGAAUACAUUAGCAUGGAAUAAUAGAAUAGGA
rnacentral:rRNA from 1 species